CUACGGGCCGCUGCAGUGGGGAAUAUUGCACAAUGGGCGCAAGCCUGAUGCAGCCAUGCCGCGUGUAUGAAGAAGGCCUUCGGGUUGUAAAGUACUUUCAGCGGGGAGGAAGGGAGUAAAGUUAAUACCUUUGCUCAUUGACGUUACCCGCAGAAGAAGCACCGGCUAACUCCGUGCCAGCAGCCGCGGUAAUACGGAGGGUGCAAGCGGUAAUCGGAAUUACUGGGCGUAAAGCGCACGCAGGCGGUUUGUUCAGUCAGAUGUGAAAUCCCCGGGCUCAACCUGGGAACUGCAUCUGAUACUGGCGAGCUUGAGUGUCGUAGAGGGGGGUAGAAUUCCAGGUGUAGCGGUGAUAUGCGUAGAGAUCUGGAGGAAUACCGGUGGCGAAGGCGGCCCCCUGGACGAAGACUGACGCUCAGGUGCGAAAGCGUGGGGAGCAAACAGGAUUAGAUACCCGCGUAGUC
rnacentral:rRNA from 1 species